CGCCGCGCCUACGGGAGGCAGCAGUGGGGAAUAUUGCACAAUGGGCGCAAGCCUGAUGCAGCCAUGCCGCGUGUAUGAAGAAGGCCUUCGGGUUGUAAAGUACUUUCAGCGGGGAGGAAGGGAGUAAAGUUAAUACCUUUGCUCAUUGACGUUACCCGCAGAAGAAGCACCGGCUAACUCCGUGCCAGCAGCCGCGGUAAUA
rnacentral:rRNA from 1 species